AACGAACGCUGGCGGCAUGCCUAACACAUGCAAGUCGAACGAGACCUUCAGGUCUAGUGGCGCACGGGUGCGUAACGCGUGGGAACCUGCCCUUAGGUUCGGAAUAACUCCCCGAAAGGGGUGCUAAUACCGGAUAAUGUCUUCGGACCAAAGAUUUAUCGCCUUUGGAUGGGCCCGCGUUGGAUUAGCUAGUUGGUAGGGUAAAAGCCUACCAAGGCGACGAUCCAUAGCUGGUCUGAGAGGAUGAUCAGCCACACUGGGACUGAGACACGGCCCAGACUCCUACGGGAAGCAGCAGUGGGGAAUAUUGGACAAUGGGCGAAAGCCUGAUCCAGCAAUGCCGCGUGAGUGAUGAAGGCCUUAGGGUUGUAAAGCUCUUUUACCCGGGAUGAUAAUGACAGUACCGGGAGAAUAAGCUCCGGCUAACUCCGUG
rnacentral:rRNA from 1 species